rnacentral:lncRNA from 1 species
CUUUUCCUCUAUUUAAACCUCAGCUUUCACUCCUGCUCUUUUCUUGAUACUGUCUGGCAGUGACUGCCUGUAUGAAGAAUUUAUGUAAAACAGCACAACUGUUUCAGCCUUUGCUUUGAUGCUCAUCUUGGGGAAAAUCUGAAGAGAACACGUUGAGGUCCCCAGUUACACAUAACGAGCAACUCAGAGGAUUUGUGUCAAGUGCUGAAGUCCUCUCUUCACCCCACACAAUGCUUUGA